GAUUAGACCAGCUCAGUUGGUCAGAGCAUGGUGCUGGUAACACCAAGGUUGUGGGUUUAAUCCCUCUAUGAGCC